rnacentral:misc_RNA from 1 species
UUUCACCAUCAUCACAGUUCCAAAGCAAGUUUGAGACUCUGACAAUCCGCCAACAUAGUCACUUAUCAUUUCAUUUCAUAAUCGUUGAAUAAGAUCUAAAUUAUUGGGCGUGGCCAAUACACUGUGAAGCCAUUUGCAUUGUUACUUGCACCCAACAGCAGACCCCUAGGUUUUCUCCUGCUUUAUAAGAAACAGCUUAAUAAUGGAGAUAUUUCGUUUUGGUGUUUUUGUUACAGUGCUCUGUGCCUAUUUGGUUGAUCCUACUGACAUCUUACCAAGGAAUCAGCCUCUAUCAAUGAACUGGCCAAGGUGGCAGACAGAAUCACUGAGGCAGCUAACCCAUUUUCAACUAUGGCCAAGAAUCUGUUGACAUUGUAAUAUCUCCUGGUGAAGUAAUAGCCGGAGGAAAAGAAAAAGUGAAGAUCACAUGUAUAGACAAAAAGUACGCCAAAAAAGUAUAUGCCAUAACUAUUUCUAAAGAUGGUAGAGAUAUUGUUACCAUUGAACCUCCAAAGAAAGCAAUCUGGGUGGAUAAUGAUAUAUCAAGAAGAGCUUACCUAAUCAACACCUACAUCAGUGCUGGUAAUUCAAUUGCUACCUUAUAUGUGACCAUCCCUCGUGGCUGGGACACUGGCCUAUACAGGUGUACUGUUCAGAAGACACCACGUCCAGAAACUUCCAGACCAAUGGCACUGAAAGUCAAUGGAUCCAGUCUACCUCGAAUGGAUAUGAUGUUGGUACUUUUAGUUGCUGCAAAUAUGGUAUAUUCUGUAAUGCAAAGUUAAAUAUUUUUCUUUCAACAUCAUUAACGAGACUGAUUAGCUCCAGGGGAUCUAAACAAUGAAAUUAAAACACUCCAACAUACAUGCAAAUGUACACAGAAUACAAAUAAAAUCCAUUGACAAACUAUUAAACGUUCCUGACAGCAAAAUCUAAUCAUCUGUCUGUUGAUAGCAUUUUUGCUACAUAAUGCUAUAUUGUUCAGCUGGGAUUGUAGAUUGGAAUACCAGAGAAGAAUUUGAA